UAGAUAGUUGUGUGAAGAAAUUUCAUUCCACAAUUUUUCUUGCUUUAACACCUUUAAUAUAAUUUCCACUGUUUUUGUUUGACGUUAUAACUUAUAAGGACUCUAUCAUCUAUGCACAUAUUAUAAUUGAUAAAAUCUAUUGAAAUUGGUUUUAAAAAGUUGGGAAAGAAAGUUAGCUUUUGUAUAUAAAAAUGGCAUCUCAUGAGAAUUGAACGGUGGGAAUAAAAUUAGAUGUCUUAAUUUUGUUGCACUUAAUUUUUUUUUUUUUAGUUUUUUUUUUUAUCGAUUUGAUCUACUAUCAAUGGAUUUCGUUGUUUAAUUUCCUUCGUUUCUAGGGACGGAACCAUCUUGUCCUCUGUAAAACCUCACAUUUUAUGUCAAAAUCUACCAUUCAUUCUUUUGAAUAAAUUGAAAAGACAUUAAAAAAUAGGGAGCAAAAUGCAACUAGUUGGUUUUAUAGUCAUUGGGGAAACAAACAUUUGUAGAUGCAAAUCAAUUAUCAAUUUUAUUUUUAUAUUUUAGCUAAAGAGUAGAGAGAGAAACUCCUGACUUGUCUCUUUCUCACCUAGUAACCUAAACACCCAUUUUGAUCGUUGACUGGAGGAUGACCACAUUCACCGCCUCUAAGGAAAACACCCUCCUGUCUAUACCGCCGGAACCCCCAGAUCCUAAAACACAACAUAUGGAAGCAGACCCCCCUUCUUCCCAUAUCACUCCCAUCUCCUACAAAGACAACUCGCCCCUAGAACCACCAGAGGAUCUAGAUGCCAUCACCCUAAUGGUGGAAGAGAAAAAUAGAAUCUGUCGUCCCUGGCGUCUAUCAAUGAUUAUUAAAAUCUUUGGAAAAAGAUUCAAUCACCAAUACCUGAGAAAUAAGCUGAUAGAUCUAUGGAAAUUAGAGAAAACCCUAACUCUAAUUGAUCUUGGAUGCGACUUCUUUGUUGUCAAAUUCAAGAGGGAUGAAAGUCUAGAUAAAGUACUACAUGAUGGCCUGUGGUUUGUAGCGGGAAAUUUUUCUCUUUGUACGCCCAAUGGGAACCAAAUUUCGUGCCGGAAGAAAAUACCAUUUAUUCUAUGACCAUUUGGGUUCGUCGUCCACAACUACCUAUGGAAUUCUAUGAUAGAGGCAUCCUAGAAUGAAUUGGAAGACAAAUUAGUGAAAAUUGAUGUAUGCACCUCCUCUACUGUUAGAGGGCGAUAUGCACGCAUCUGUGUGGAAAUUAAUUUGGGGGUUCCGAUCAAAACUUCAAUCACGAUAGGGAACCCCACCGUUAACUCGUAAUCUAUGAGAGGGAGGGUAUUUUGUGCAUUAGUUGUGGUCACACCACAGUUAAUUGCACCUUUGUCCAACCAUCACCUAACCCAACCCCAAGAUCUGAACAAGGAAAAAAACGGGGAGCAAUGAGAGGCAAACAGUCAACUUCGGACGGAGAAGACGAAGCCCACUGAAGAAAGAAGUAAAAGCCUCAAACUCGAAGGCCGAUAAAAUCAAGUGAUCCAACCAGCAAGUUAAAAUAAUUUGAUACCGGCUCAGGUAAGUUUUUUGAAGCUCUGCGGUUGAUUGGAGAGUAACCGGUAAAGGUAAGGCGCGGCGAAGGAUCCUAGGGCAAAAUCCAAAGGGCCUAACACCAUUAUGGACCACAUGAUUUGGGUCGAGGCAGAGGUCAUACUCGUUAAACCAGCCCCCAAAAAAAAUUUAAAAAGUCAAUUUUAUUGAUCAGCUCGCUAAAGAAUCUGUGUCCCAUAUGGGACAAGCCCAAACGCAAUAUUAUAAGCCCACCGGUAUUAGUUUGGGUAUGGAUUCUUCUAAUAACCCAACAAAUAUUAUGGACCCCCACCCAGGCCCAAUGACAGUAAUAAAAAGGCUAAAAAAAGGGACCAUGAUGAGUUGACUAACCCAGAUAAAAAAAAUCCAUCUUAAGUCAACUAUUUCUGAUCCGGUUUUGUUUACUUAUAUAAUAGCAAAAAUGAGAUGGAUACUAAUAUGCAAAAUCUUACUAACCUACCUCGUUCGUCUAACUUCCUAACUGACUCCAUAUUCGCCAAUAUGGAUUCUCCCCUCCCCAAAACCCUCAAUUCGCCUCUUUCCAAGAGUAAUGAUUACUCUGGCUCGGACGUGCAUGGGUGCGACAAAACCAAAGCGUUUGCAUUUAAUGCAAAACCACUUCAGUAAAUCUUUAUAAACAAGCCUUUGGAUGUGUUCAAAACACCAUCUGUACAUACCCACUUUACUACCGUCUCUUCUUUCCCCGCCUUACCAGAACCUAUUACUAAAGAAACUCAAAAUGUCGAUACAGAACAAUACUCUGUAUUUCGUGAUUGCAUCACUACCACUAGACUAUACCCUAACUUCAUGGCUGGAGUGGGGUCUCCUAGGCCAAUCCUUCACCUUGAACCUAGUUGUGGACCACCAAUAUAUUACCAUAGUGGUCCAGGAUGCAUCUUUCCUAGCCCAUCUAGAGACGGAGGGCCUGAACCUGGGUCUGGGGAAUUAUGGUCAUCAGGUUUGGAUGCAAACCUUGUUGUUGCUGCAAACUCUACUCAGAGACAUUCCUAUGCCAAUCAACCCUCAGACUCUGAACUCUUUGAUGACAGAGGUGACCGACAACACCCCUGUCUUCCCCAUACCGAAACCAUAGAUGUUGCCUUUCAACCAAGGUUUGUCCAAUAGACUGCUCCUCCUCCCUAGAACCACAUGCAAGUAGAAUUGACCUCAGUGUUGACUUAAAUGGCCUCUUUAGAAGCUCUGAGAGUCGACCACCAGACCCUAGAAACUCUGAGGGCCAACAAAAAAGAACUGAAGGUUAUGUUGACCUCCAUGCAAAUACCCAAAUUCGAUGCGAUGACCCUAGAGAAACUAGAACUAGUGGAGUUCAAUGGACCCAGGAGUGAGCUUCUGAUAGUUUUAUGCCCCCGUCAUCUGACCAAGUUUGCUCUAGGUAUCAAAUACCCUGUGGUCCCAGCGACAGGGAACUUUGCAACAACGUUGAACCCAACCCUGAGCAAGGCUCCUGUGUAAACCCAGAACAACAACUUCAACCCAAGGGGAAAGGGGAAAAGAGUGAAAAAGAAUUCCCCAAAACAUCACAGGAUGCUACUCAUGAACUUCAUCAUAUGGAAUGCUAGAGGAGCAAAUAGCCUUGAAUUUAAAAGACAUUAUACUGCCAUGAUUGACCUUCAUAGGCCUGCCAUGCUUUGUCUGCUUGAAAAUAAAAUGAAUGAGCACAAGCAUAUUGCAGAACAAUUAGGCUUUAAUACUCAUUUUCAGUCACCUGCUGUGAGUAACUCUGGGGGAUUAGUGGUAAUGUGGAAGGAUGAUAUUUUGAAGGUUCAAGAGAUCACCAUUACCAAUAAGGGAAUCCAUGCUUUAGUUAAGGGAUUGAGACUAGAAGAUGAACACAAUCUAAAACCUUUGGAAAUCAACUGUGAUUCCACUGAGGUAAUCAACAUGUUGAAAAAUGGGCACACUCCUUACAAACUGUUAUCUCUGAAAGUAGGUUGUUCAUGCACAAGCUGGGCCUUCCGGAGCUAAAACAUAUAUACCGUGAGCAGAAUACGGUAGCAGAUCUACUAGCAAAGGAAGGUGCUUGGAAAAAGUUUUUUAGUGCAGUGAAAGUUCAUGCGGUUCCUCCUUUUUUUUUUUUUUUUUUUUUUUUUUUUUUGUGAGCAAUGUUUUUGGGAUGACAAGAGAGGAACUACUUUUGAAAGAUGCGUAAAUUUUGUUAAUGUUCAAACAAUGGCGCACCCGCCAGGGCAUGUAACAGGCAUAAGCCUAAACAACGAUUAACUUUAGUA